rnacentral:lncRNA from 1 species
AUGUCUCAGUGCAUCGCCUAUAAAAGAGAAUCUUGGUCUGGACUCACCAGAGUUCAAUGGAGGCACGCGCGCCGGAUGGAAGAUUCAUUACUUUUGGUGAGCACACGGACCCAGACAGAUUGGGAGUGGGUGGAGCAGAGCCUCUCUUUCAGCUGUCAAGGUAAGCCAUGUCAUCAGUUUGGGUGGCGAGGGGGGGUCACCUGUUCCUGCCCCCUCUUGCCUCUCACGACAUCUGUCAAGUUUCCCAAUUACUUUGCGCGAUGCAAAAGGAAAUUGGCGAUCCGCGGUCGUUGCAGGCAGAGGUGCUGAGUGUGGACAGUGGCCCUGGUGGCUCCCGGCAAGAUGUGUUUUAUGCUGAGUCCGGCGAAGUCAGCUUUGUUUGAACAGCAUAAGAUCCGGUGGCAGACAGUAACUAAGUAUAUUUACUUAGCUACUGUACUAUUAUCUACAAUUUCGAUAUACUUGUAGUUAAAGUUCAUUCUAUUUUGCAUUGCUACUUUACUGCGUGUAUCUGACAGCUUUAGUUGCUAAUUUUCCAGAUUCAUAUUAUUAAUAUAGAUUAUAAUCAAGAAAAUAAAUCAAUGAUGACGUAUUAAUAUUCAUAAUAUCAUAGAUCAGCAGUUCUCAAACUGGAUGUUGGGCAUAGAGCCACUGCAGGGGGGACUCAAGAGGAAGAGGGGCGAAAUAUGAAUUUGAAUGAAUAUGACUUUUGUAAGGAAAUUAAAAGAGUUUGCUGAUGAAGCCGUGGUGACCUUUAUUUCACUUAAAUUCCAUUUGUUUCUGAUGUAUUAGAUGCUUUCCCUAUCAGUGUUAAUGAUUAAUAAAAAUAAAAAUAGAGAAGUGGGAAGCGGGAACUUUACUUUAUGUAUGUUUUGAUGACAAUAUGUGUAUGGAGUUUCACUCAGACGGGGACACUUGUGAGAUAUGGAGGUAAUUUUAGUUGAAAAGAGUCAAAAAAUUAACUGAGGUUAUCAAACAUGUUUAUGUGCCCUGUUGCAGAGAUGACUACUGAAGUUAGCCCUCUAACCAGCUAGCCUAAAUAACGUUAUACCACUUUGUACCCCAAGAUGUGUUCAUCAGAUAGCUCUCUUAGUUUCAGGUGCCAGAUAUAGACAAUGUCAACUGUUAGUGUAAUAAAUGUACAAGAUACUCACAAAAUGUCAAGAAAUAAAAAACUACAACUUCUCUUUUCCUUACAAAAAAGAAAAAUACAACCAUACACUGUCUGAAUGUAAGUCUUUUACCAAACUAAGACAAGCUUAAUUGUCACGUAUCUCAUUGUAAAACAGACUUGACAUAAAAUAAAUAAAACUGACUGAAUCAGUCUUGGUUUGUCUUCUCCACAACCCCUGUGGGCUGGUCAUAAUUAGUCCUCAACUUUGGGUCAGCAGCCUCCACGGCUAACUGAGCCGUGGCCUAACAAGCUAACAGUAACUAGCUAGAGUGGAUAGCUAGCUGUUUUUUGCAGCUACAGUACCUCCGAAUCCUGGCCAUAUAUUACGAGUGACACCUUUAAGUAAAAUUUUAAUUGCAUGACAUAUUCCUUUAACUAAAUAUGUCUACACAUUGGCAUCACUACUUUUACAUAUUUAAGAAAGGGCAGAAUGAUCAGUGUUCGACCAAAAUCACUAAUUUGUCUCUUGUUGUCGCAUUACACUUGGUGCAAUAAACAGAUUGUUAAGCCUUCUACACAUUCAACAUAUAUAGCUAUAUUGUAUGUACAGUGGUUUAUAUGGAACAAUCUUUACAAGUCCACGGUUGAGAAAAGUCUUUUCCCAUCAGGACGCACAGGAUGAGAAGUUGCCAGAGAAGGAACAUGACAUACCUUGUGAGGGGCUGUCUCGUCUCUUAGCACACAAGCCGGAGCCAAAACAAACUCCCACCGUUGUAAAGGUACUGUCGACUUACUCCUGUAUCUAUAUUGCCCAUAGUGCCUGGAAAUGACAGUGAUGGCCUUUUUCAUUUCCCCAGCAGUAAUAGCAGCGAGUGGAGGCUAUAAUAUCAGAGGUGGAGAGGUGAUUGUGAAUCUGUUUUUUCUUUUUCUUUUCCCGUAGGUUCCAGAGGUUGAAUCGAAACAGGAUGUGCAUCUCGCUCAGUGUGUCUGUAUCCAGCAGCUCUGUCAGCCCCUUCACAUAUAGUAGAACUGCUGGAGAGUGAAAGAGAGAGGGUGAGAGAGUGUGGCUUGUUUACCUCAUGCAAGAAAAUUGAAAAUUCAUUAGACGUAAUGAGUGUUCAGACAGACUUUUCAUGGGAGGGAGCAGUGUGAAGAAAUAGGAAAAUGUAUAGCGAGAAAUUACAUUUUCUUUUACUCGGCUCUUUUGCUGGGAGCAAGCUAAACAGAUGAGAGGGCUCAUCCUGGGAGAGAGAGAGAAUUAUUUUGUAUGUUGCUUGGAUCUUUAAAAUGGCUGCUGAAGGACAUACAUGUACCUGAGCUGCAUUAUAUUGAUUUACUGUAUUGAAGAUCAUUAUAGAGCUCCAUUCCAUCGCAAUUUGAAUUUGAUAUUCAACAUGCCCUUCGGGUUUUGGCAUUGUCAUGUACAUUUCUCCCACUUGUGCAGGAAAUAAAAUACUUGUAGGUUGAGACAUUGGCAACUCCGGAGAAAACCUAUACAAGAAAACUUUAAUGCAAAAGUGUUGUAAGUGUGCAACCUUGGGCCCCUAGUCUAGACUCACAAGUUCACAAGUAGAAAUGAUGGAUAUAUGAAAUGUGC